UACGUAGGGGGCUAGCGUUGUCCGGAUUUAUUGGGCGUAAAGAGCGUGUAGGCGGCCAGAUAGGUCUGCUGUGAAAACUCGAGGCUCAACCUCGAGACGUCGGUUGAAACCGUACGGCUAGAGUCCGGAAGAGGAGAGUGGAAUUCCAGGUGUAGCGGUGAAAUGCGUAGAUAUCUGGAGGAACACCGGUGGCGAAGGCGGCAUCCUGGACCAACACUGACGCUGAGUGAGCGAAAGCCAGGGGAGCAAACGGG
rnacentral:rRNA from 1 species